UUCCCAAAAAUCCCUUGGGAUUGGGGGAUCCCCUUCCCAAAAAUCCCUUGGGAUUGGGGGAUCCCCUUCCCAAAAAUCCCUUGGGAUUGGGGGAUCCCCUUCCCAAAAAUCCCUUGGGAUUGGGGGAUCCCCUUCCCAAAAAUCCCUUGGGAUUGGGGGAUCCCCUUCCCAAAAAUCCCUUGGGAUUGGGGGAUCCCCUUCCCAAAAAUCCCUUGGGAUUGGGGGAUCCCCUUCCCAAAAAUCCCUUGGGAUUGGGGGAUCCCCUUCCCAAAAAUCCCUUGGGAUUGGGGGGAUCCCCUUCCCAAAUAUCCCAAAAAUCCCAAAAACCCACCCUGGGAUUCUCCCAGUGCCCCGAAAUCUCACCCUGGGGAGUUCCCAGUCCCUAAAAAUUCACCCUGGAGUGUUCCCAGUGCUCCCAGUGUCACCCUGGGGUGCUCCCAGUGCCCCAAAACUUCAUCCCCUUCCCAAAAAUCCCUUGGGAUUGGGGGAUCCCCUUCCCAAAAAUCCCUUGGGAUUGGGGGAUCCCCUUCCCAAAAAUCCCUUGGGAUUGGGGGAUCCCCUUCCCAAAAAUCCCUUGGGAUUGGGGGAUCCCCUUCCCAAAAAUCCCUUGGGAUUGGGGGAUCCCCUUCCCAAAAAUCCCUUGGGAUUGGGGGGAUCCCCUUCCCAAAUAUCCCAAAAAUCCCAAAAACCCACCCUGGGAUUCUCCCAGUGCCCCGAAAUCUCACCCUGGGGAGUUCCCAGUCCCUAAAAAUUCACCCUGGAGUGUUCCCAGUGCUCCCAGUGUCACCCUGGGGUGCUCCCAGUGUCCCAGAACUUGGUCUUGGGGUUCUCCCAGUGCUCCCAGUGCCCCAAAAUCCCACCCUGGUUUGUUCCCAGUCCCUAAAAUCCACUCUGGGCAGCUCCCAGUGCCACUCUGGGGUUCUCCCAGUGUUCCCAGUGCCCCAAAUCCCAUCCUGGGCAGCUCCCAGUGCUCCCAGUGUCACCCUGGGCAGCUCCCAGUGCCCCAAAACCUCACUCUGGGGUGUUCCCAGUGCUCCCAGUGCCCCAAAACCUCACCCUGGAAUGUUCCCAGUCCUCCCAGUGCCAUCCUGAGCAGCUCCCAGUGCCCCCAAAUCCCACUCUGGGGUUCUCCCAGUGCUCCCAGUGCUCCCAGUGCUCCCAGUCCAGGGCUUCACCCCAAACCCCAGGAACUUCCCAGCCUCAAUUUUGGAGGAGGAAGGAGCAGAAUUCCAGCAGGACCUCACCAGGAUUUUGGGAAUCACCUUUUGGAAUUUAGAAAAAAAAAAACAAAAACAAAAACAAAAAACCCCCCCCCCCCCCCCCCCCCCCCCCCCCCCCCCCCCCCCCCCCCCCCCCCCCCCCCCCCCCCCCCCCCCCCCCCCCCCCCCCC
rnacentral:lncRNA from 12 species